UACGAAGGGGGCUAGCGUUGUUCGGAAUCACUGGGCGUAAAGCGCACGCAGGCGGAUUGAUAAGUCAGGGGUGAAAUCCCGGAGCUCAACUUCGGAAUUGCCUUUGAUACUGUCUAUCUUCGAGUUCGGGAGAGGUUGGCGGAAUUCCUAGUGUAGAGGUGAAAUUCGUAGAUAUUAGGAAGAACACCAGUGGCGAAGGCGGCCAACUGGCCCGAUAC
rnacentral:rRNA from 1 species